GACGAACGCUGGCGGCGUGCCUAACACAUGCUAGUCGAACGGUGAUACAUGAGCAGCAAUGUGAGUGUAUCAUAGUGGCGGACGGGUGAGUCACGCGUGAGCGACCUGGCUUUAAGAGGGGGAUAACACCGGGAAACCGGUGCUAAUACCGCUUAAGACCACAGUACCGACAGGUACAGAGGUAAAGGGAGAAAUCCGCUUAAAGAUGGGGUCGAGUCCCAUUAGCUAGUUGGUGAGGUAAUGGCCCACCAAGGCUUCGAUGGGUAGUCGUCCUGUGAGGGUGAUCGGCCACACUGGAAAUGAGAAACGGUCCAGACUCCUACGGGAGGCAGCAGUGGGGAAUAUUGGGCAAUGGGCGAAAGCCUGACCCAGCAACGCCGCGUGAGGGAAGAAGGUUUUCGGAUUGUAGACCUCUGUCCUUGGGGACGAAAAAAAUGACGGUACCCAGGGAGGAAGCCCCGGCUAACUACGUGCCAGCCGCCGCUGUAAGAC
rnacentral:rRNA from 1 species